GCCGUUUCCUGUCCUGGUGCAUGGUGGUCGGACGGAGGAAUUGUUGGAAAAUUUCUCGGCGAGGAAUGCAGGAUACAUUCAUGUCCUUGUGCAAGUCUGCCCAGAUAUCGUCACUGAUGUGCCUUUGGAAAUUGACAGUUGCAGCUUGCCUGUGAUCUGUGAAGAUUUGCAAGAGUUCACAAAGUCAACUCUCAAGUUUUCACUUCAGUAGACAAUGUUAUUAGCUCAGAUCAAUCGAGACUCUCAGGGAAUGACGGAAUUUUCUGGAGGAGGAAUGGAGGCCCAGCACGUGACUCUGUGUCUAACAGAAGCUGUAGCUGUGCAAGGUGACCCUUCAGAUGGUGACAACUUGGAAAACAUGGAAGGUGUAAGUUUGCAAGCAGUUACCCUGGCUGAUGGCUCCACUGCUUACAUCCAGCACAAUUCUAAAGAUGGUAAAUUAAUGGAUGGCCAAGUGAUUCAAUUAGAAGAUGGUUCUGCUGCCUAUGUUCAACAUGUACCUAUGCCUAAAAGCAGGGAGAGCCUGCGUCUGGAAGAUGGGCAGGCGGUUCAGCUGGAAGAUGGAACCACAGCAUUUAUUCAUCACACCUCAAAAGACAGUUAUGACCAGAGUGCCCUGCAGGCUGUGCAGCUGGAGGAUGGAACCACAGCCUACAUCCACCACACGGUGCAGAUGCCACAGUCAGACACCAUUCUGGCCAUCCAGGCCGAUGGCACCGUGGCAGGACUGCACACAGGAGAUGCUGCCAUCGACCCUGACACCAUCAGUGCUUUGGAGCAAUAUGCAGCCAAGGUGUCUAUUGAUGGAAAUGACAGUGUUAGUAGCACAGGAAUUAUAGGGGAAAAUGAACAAGAUAAAAAAAUGCAGAUUGUCUUGCAAGGACAUGGAACAAGAGUGACAGCAAAAUCUCAGCAGACUGGAGAGAAGGCCUUUCGCUGUGAUUAUGAUGGCUGUGGAAAACUGUACACAACAGCUCACCAUCUUAAGGUGCAUGAAAGGUCUCACACGGGAGACAGACCAUACCAGUGUGAGCAUCCCGGAUGUGGCAAAGCCUUUGCAACAGGGUACGGGCUGAAGAGCCACGUGCGCACGCACACCGGGGAGAAGCCCUAUCGCUGCACCGAGGAGAACUGCACCAAGUCCUUCAAGACUUCUGGAGACCUGCAGAAGCACAUUCGGACACACACAGGUGAAAGGCCUUUUAAGUGUCCCUUUGAAGGAUGUGGCAGGUCAUUCACAACAUCUAAUAUUAGAAAGGUUCACAUCAGGACACACACGGGCGAAAGGCCUUAUUACUGUACAGAGCCAGGAUGUGGGAGAGCUUUUGCCAGUGCAACUAAUUAUAAGAAUCAUGUGAGAAUACACACAGGGGAGAAGCCCUAUGUGUGUACAGUUCCUGGCUGUGACAAACGUUUCACAGAGUAUUCCAGUUUAUACAAACAUCAUGUUGUACAUACUCAUUCCAAACCCUACAACUGCAAUCACUGUGGGAAGACCUACAAGCAGAUCUCUACCCUUGCUAUGCACAAACGAACAGCACACAACGACACAGAGCCCAUUGAGGAAGAACAAGAGGCUUUCUUUGAGCCACCUCCAGGUCAAGGUGAAGAUGUGCUCAAAGGCUCCCAGAUCACCUAUGUGACAGGUGUAGAGGGAGAUGAUGUCAUUUCUGCACAGGUUGCUACAGUUACUCAGUCAGGAUUAGGCCAACAAGUAGCACUAAUAUCCCAGGAUGGAACCCAACAUGUGAACAUUUCCCAGGCAGACAUGCAGGCCAUCGGCAACACCAUCACCAUGGUGACACAAGAUGGCACCACCAUCACCGUCCCUGCCCACGACGCCGUCAUCUCCUCGGCCGGCACGCACUCGGUGGCCAUGGUCACUGCAGAGGGCACCGAGGGACAGCAGGUUGCAAUUGUGGCCCAAGACCUAGCAGCGUUUCACAGUGCCUCCUCAGAAAUGGGACACCAGCAGCACGGACACCACCUAGUGACUACAGAAACCAGACCUGUCACAUUGUUGGCUACAUCCAAUGGGACACAAAUUGCAGUACAGCUUGGAGAACAACAGUCUCUGGAAGAAGCCAUUAGAAUAGCCUCCAGAAUACAACAGGGGGAAACACCAGGGAUUGAUGAUUAACUUGUAAAACUGCUACCAGAACAAUAGAGUGAAAGGUAUUUUAUUUUCAACCAACAAAGGUCCAUGCCAGCAACAGCCCGUAAAAACUUUGAAGUCCCCCACUCACUGAUACUGUGUACACAUUUUAUGCAAGAGUGAAGAACAUUUUCUAAGUUUUGUGUACAUAACCCUUGGAAUGGACUGACAUCAUCUACUUCCAACCGUUGCAUUCAGGAAUAUGGAAUUAGGAUUAUAUAGUAAACUUCCUUGUUAUCCUUUCAUCAGAUUUCAGACUGGUCUACAAGCAAGUAAAAAAUUAGAAGUAUUGGAAUUAAUUUUUAAUGUCAUGUACAAAUAAUGAAGGCAUUACUGAAGAUUUCAGCUGUUUAAAUAACCAUUUCAGGAACCCUUACAAGUAAUAAAGGCAACAAAGCCUUUUAAAAUUGCAUUCCAUUAAUGGAAAAGUCUUGGAUUUUGAGCCUACUACUGUAAAUCUUCGUAUUUUGAUUUGUUUCAUACAGAUUUGAAUACUCUUUAGAUUAUCUACCCCAUCUCACUCAUUGUAAAUACAGACUGUUAAUGCUGGAAGUGCUAAUUAUAUUAUCUUUAAAUUGGAUUAUGUACAAAGAACUGGUUGUUGAAUAUUAAAGAAAGUAAAUCUAAUGAUUUUGUUUCUUUACAUAUUUUACUUAAGAUGUUACUCUUGAAUUAUUAUGCAAUAAAAUAUAGCAAGAUUGUAUUGUUUAGAUAGGAUGAUAUUGUCAUGUGACUUACUGUUUUACUUUUUACUGAGACUGAAGUUCAAAUUAUUUAUUUACGGCCUUGUAUAAAUUUUUCCAAAGUUUAUUUAUCAUAAACUUAAUUUUUUGGCAUUAAUUUUGAUCGUAAUCCAUUAUAGUGUAUUAAGCAAAUACUGGUAAUAGUUAUUUCAAACAUUCUAAAACACUACAAGAGUGAUUUUUACUAAAAGGUGAAGUUACCCAUUUUCAAGUGAACUAUUUUCAAAUGGUGCAUUUGCAGCAAAAGUACAAGUACUAAUAGUUGUUUUCAACAGUUCUGAGUGCCUGCUGCUACCAUUCAGUACCUAGGAUGUGCUUGAUAAUCAGUGCUUUUGAAAAUCAGGACACAAGUUACUAGGAAAAAGGGAUUAAUGAUGAUGACAUUUCCUGACCACUGUACAAAUGUGAGUAUUCUUUCUCUUUCAUACAAGUUGGUUUGCUGCAAGGUGUUCAUUCACAACCAGCUCAGUCAGGAAAGCUGUGGUAUUUUAAAAAUUUUUUCUGUGGCUGUUACCUUAUCAGUUACUCUUGCAAAACUCCCAAGUCAAAGGUGGUGCUUCCAUGUUUUGCUAGCUCCCUCGACAUAAAUAAGGUGGAGUGCUUUGUGUUUAAAGAAGAGCUGAGGUGAUUAUGUGUGCCUUAGCAGCAAGGCCUGCCUUCAUAACAGACCUUGGUGAUGCUCACCUGCUGCUUCCAUGCAGCCAGCAGUGGAAGGAGCUGUAGUGGAGUCUAGACAGGACAAGAUUGGGUUAGAUAGAUAGGAAAAUUUGCAAAAAGGAUUUCAGGAGGAGGAAGCAGAGAAUAUGACAGGACUGGGUGUUUGGCAGUGGAAAUCUCUAUACUUUACCUACAGAUUCUACCCCUCGUUUGAAAACUGUCUCAGAGGGAAUGCUGUAGCACACUAGAAGGAAGUAGCUUGUAAAAGAUGUAAAGCAAAUCAGCUCAGUGUAUCACUGCCUCUUGCAGACUGACUCCCACAUUUCCAGUCAUGAUUUUUCUCUUGUAUGUCAAUUCCGGGUCUAUACCAAUUCUACCCAUGAAGGAAUGAGCCCAAAGUCUUUCCAGACCUCGCAGUCAACUUUUCCCUUUUAAGUAUUUCUCCAGAUUUUCCCUCUGGUGGCCUUUGCUUUACUGUAUUUUAGUGUCUCUCCUGAUAGUAAAGGAGGUGAUAAUUUUUGGUGCUGCAGGCUGGUGACCUAUUGUGCCAGACACACUCUACAUAACAACAGGACGGCUUUUACCCUGAAGGGCUAAAGGUUUUCAUAGGAGUAAAUCCUGCUGUAAACAGCCCUCAUCCUGCUGCUGUGAUUAAGCCCAGCUCAGCUGACCGAUACCGCAGGUCCGGUGUGAGACAGGCACGUGGUGUGUGCUCAGCACAGGGGCAGGACGGCUCAGGGUGCGAUAAACCAACACCGGCUGGGCUGGGCGGCCGCUCCUCCUCAGCCCUGCAAUACUGCCCCACUUUGUCCCACUGCCUGCUCUGGCUUCUGCGAGCAUUCUGCUGGAGCAGGGAAAUCCUGCUGUGCUCUUCCAGUGCACUCAGGGAGCCUUCCCCAGGGAAGCAUGGUGUGGAGGAAGGAUCUGAUAGAAAAUGUUUUGCUCUACAGCUGUUGAGGUUUGUCAGACUCAACACCUUAAGCUGACUAAGAUGAAGAAGUGCCCCAUAACAAACUGGUUCUGUUCACUCUGAGUUUGUCAUUGAAUGAAAAGAAAUUUUCUGUGUAAUUUUAAAACAGCACAGGUGAAAUUUCAUUAAUAUCUGUGUGGGUGACAUGCAAACUGAUUUUCUUAAGCAGUAAGAUUUUGAGAGACUGCAAAUGACAGGUAACUUGUGUCCUGUUCAGCUAUUAACUUAGAGUUGUUUGAAGCUUUAAAAAUUUUAUUUAUUCAGCAUGCAUCAUUUUUGUCCUGAAAAAAUGGAAAUCGCCUUGUCUUUGCAGAUGCAAAAAAGCAAAACCCAGACCCUUGUUUAUAAUAAUGUACUCCUACUUUUUUAUUUGCACUGUAUGUGUUUGAACACCAUUUUCCCAAAAGUAUCCUGUGUUCUAUGGAUAAAACCCUUCUAAAGCAUAGACACCCAUGACAACAAAAGAAAAAUUAAGAGCUAUUUUCAGUUCCUUUGUUGGAGGUAGUAAACUGCACUCAAACUGAGGCAGAGAAGCAAGCAUUUUUCCUUGUUGUGUUAUGUGUAUUGUAAAAUGUCCCAUCAGUUUGGCAUUCCUUUGAUUCUGUUUUCGUUCUGCUGGUGGAGUUGCUUGGCCAGAGGAAAAUGUAACUAUCUCAUUAGGCCAUCACCAUUAGCACUAAGUUGUUGACACCUCACCCUAUCAGGAAGGGGUGAUACCAGACUUUCUAACCGAGGGUUAUAUUCAAGGCAGACUUUAAUUAUCCCAAUAAACAUAAAAGCUUAUACAAUUAUCCUAAUAAACAUAGAAGCCUAUAUCAACAAGUGAGCACUUGGUCCUACACAGUCUGUGUAUUUAUCUCUGCUGGAAAUGUGAAUUAAAUCCAAUCCAUCUCAGGUUCUGAAACAAUAAGGGAUUUUCUUUGGGGUAUUACUGUUCAGUUUAAUUAUUUGCAGCACUUUGCUCAAAGGAAUGACAAACCAUUUACACUUUCAGGGCACAAGUAACUGUGUGGAACUUUUCCUGUAAGUAAAAAGUAUCUUAUGUGGUAGUCAAAACCCUCCCGGUGUUUUACCCUUUCUUUUGUUUAAAUCCAUCAUCACCCUUUAGGUUGAUUGGCUACUGCUUUUUACUUAUUUUUCAAGAGACUUUUGGACUCUCCAUCGUGUUGCUGCUUGGUUCUGUAGGAUUUGCUGAGAGGUUCCUGAACAGGCAUCUUAGUGAGGCAAAACAAGGGAAAGAGACUGACUUUCCAACACCUGGCAGGUCUGCUGGAAUAACAAAAACCACCCACAAGGAUGUAAAAAGCUCCUGGAGAUACAACAAUGGUCUAAAGCUACAUCUCCAGUGGAUUUUUUCCCUGGUGUAGGGCUAAUUCAGAUUUUAAUAUUGGUUGUAAUGACUGAAAAAUCAGACAGUGCAAGAAUGGUUUGUGGGACAGAUGGGAUUAGCUGCUUUUUGUUUUUAAACACAUACAUUCAAGAGACAGAUUUUUUAAAAAUAUUUUUAUCUGCACCCCUAAAAAUGUUUGUAAAAUGUCUUACCUUAAAUGAUGCACGUAAGAGAUUAUUAGAAGAGUAGUAGAUUUGGAAAAAGGCACAGUACCUCUCUUAUGGUUUUGCAUGUUCCCUGAAGGAGAAAAAGGAAGCAGGUAGGUUAGUGAUAGAGGUGAAUUAGUAGUGUAGUGACUACUUAGUUUCUGUGCAUUAGACAUUGUGAGGUUUUUAAUUGCUGGUACAAAAUCUUUCUAUUUUGAUAAUUUUAACUUGGCCUCAACAGAGGAUUGGGACAUUCUAAUUGUACAGGUUUCAGUCAUGGCAAUCUUCCACUCUUCAGAUGUUUUGAAGGAAAUUUCUUUCCUGAAUACAACUCUCAGGAACAGACUGUUUUUCCAUUUUCUGGUUAAGCAGAUUUCAAGUGUUAAGAGGUAAACUUAAAAGCAAAAAAGGAAGUCACUAAAAACUGUCAUGUGUGUGUGCUCUCAUAGUCAUAGAGAAUUACUGAAUUGUAUGUGACUGUUUGGCACAACCUGUACUUUUUUAAUGUACUUUGUACAUUUUAACUUCUGAGUACCUUUGGAUUUUCCCUGAAAUUCCUAGAUUUUGGAUCCAGAAGCUGUUCUUUACUUUGUGGAAACCUUGGUGCUGUCAAAAUGACUGUUCUAUUCUCUACUUUGUUCUCUUGCUGUUAUUAUUUAGAGUUCCUGGGUGAAUAAAUCCCUGAGCAAUGUUCUCUCUGCCUACAGACUAUAGACUAAAAAGAGAAUAAGGACUGGCAGCACCAGCUCUUGGCAUGUCUUUGGAUAUACAAAGUCCAUUUUUGAUGGGAAACACAUUUAACUCUGGACCUUGUAAUUGAAGAGAAAGAGGUUGCCAGCUAACAGCAGCUGUUAGCAGCACAACCCCAGAUAAAAUAAUCUUUAAACUGCUCACCUUUAGGCUGUCAGUGGCCCAGACACAACAUCUCCCAUUUGGCACACUCCCACUGGGACUGUUGUCCCUGAAUAUGCCAAGUCCUGUGUGAGCACUGGAAUGCCAUUGCUGGCACUGGUGAUAAGCACACUGGUCCCUGGGUACCUGCUGAAAACCAAGAUAAAAGCUGGGAAAACAGCAAAGAUCUCUCUCUGCUCUCAGUUCUCCACCAACAGCCUUGGCACAGCUGCCUGUAGUGUUUCUGUUUUUCAUAGAAGCAGCUUUACCUUCUUCCUCUUCUGCCAUUUACACCUCCCCUGAUAAGGUGAAUUAUGCUGGUUGAUGUAGAAUGGGUUUCAGCCAGAUUUUGGCAGAACUCUUCUUAUUUGAUGGAAGUGGUUUUGGAGGAUUCCAGAUGAGCUUGCAAGUGCAGUAAUCAUGACAAGAUGGCAAUGCCACUCCUCAGGCAGUUCUGACAGCCAGACAAAUUGGCCAUUGUUCUAUUUCUUCCUCAUUUUUGACUUCCCCUGCUACACACAAAAGUUGGAAACAAUGGUUUCCUUGAGCUUGAGAACUCCUAGUUAAAAGCAGCUGUUUGCCUGUAAGUGUGUACAGCUCCAGAUAAAUAUUUCUAGUAGCAAAAUCUUCAGUGCACCUUACAAACAAGUAUUAUAAGGAAAAGAACCAAUUUUGUAAAUAUAUAUUCUGAAAACCGUUAAACCAGUCAAAUUUAUAGGAAUAUCAGCCAGGCACUGCCUAGCCAUCACUCUGUGUGCUGUUACAUCUGUUGGAAGAAUCAGGGCUUGAGUCUGCAAGAUCUGUAGCAGUUCAGAGGUGCAAUUUAAUCAGCUUCAGAGAAUUUGGGAUGAUUUGGCACAGUGUGGAAACCUGCAGAGCUCCUCCUCACUGAGCUUCUUCCUCCUCUGGUAAUGUCCAUUGCUCAGGUGCUCUCUGGGAGGGAAUUGGCUCUGUGGGGCUCCUCAUGCUCAUCACAGGUGUCACAGGGGAGCAAAGUUCCCCUCAGUCUGGGUAAAAGUCACCUCUUCAACACAACUGCUCAUGGUCCUGACAGACUACAGCAAAACAAUGGGUGUGAAUUCAGAGCAGCACAUACACAGAGCCUGUGAACUCUUACACAGCAGCUGUGCAUUUUGUUAGCUACAUAUUUAUUCACUACUUCCCUUUCUUAAAUGCUUUCAGAUUGCAAAUAAACUUUCUUUUAAAAUCAC